AACGAACGCUGGCGGCAUGCCUAACACAUGCAAGUCGAACGAGACCUUCGGGUCUAGUGGCGCACGGGUGCGUAACGCGUGGGAACCUGCCCUUAGGUUCGGAAUAACUCCCCGAAAGGGGUGCUAAUACCGGAUAAUGUCUUCGGACCAAAGAUUUAUCGCCUUUGGAUGGGCCCGCGUUGGAUUAGCUAGUUGGUAGGGUAAAAGCCUACCAAGGCGACGAUCCAUAGCUGGUCUGAGAGGAUGAUCAGCCACACUGGGACUGAGACACGGCCCAGACUCCUACGGGAAGCAGCAGUGGGGAAUAUUGGACAAUGGGCGAAAGCCUGAUCCAGCAAUGCCGCGUGAGUGAUGAAGGCCUUAGGGUUGUAAAGCUCUUUUACCCGGGAAGAUAAUGACAGUACCGGGAGAAUAAGCUCCGGCUAACUCCGUG
rnacentral:rRNA from 1 species